rnacentral:lncRNA from 1 species
AGAGGUGUGAGGCUGGUGGGAAUCCAUCUGUGAGUACAAAACUUUUGCUACACAACCUCCUGGGAGCAACCCUGUCUGGUGCCGCCUUCAACAGUUCCCACACAGCCACCUCCAGGGCCACCGCAAGUUGUGGUGGUGCAGUUUUGGAGAGGAUAGAUGUUAGAUGUUGACUGAAUAAACAUGUCUCAUGUGUUCUGAAGUUUUGUCCUUCUGGAAUAUUUGGCUGCUUAUAGCAUGCUCUAAGGCUAAAUGAAAUGGGCCCCCAUGUAUUUAGUCUGUUAAACCCCGGAGGAGGCCACCUGUCCUGUUUAAGUGUGGUGAGCUGUCUGAGCCCUUGAGUCCACUGCACAUAUUCCAGAACCCAUCAGUAUGUAGUGGGCUUUGUUCUGGGUUCUCCUGACUUUAGAGGCUCCGUGCCUGUUUCUUUCCAUUUCCACGGGUUGCCAUUCUGUUGCUCUGGUCCAAGGGUGCCUGUCUAGCUAUUGUAAUAUAUUUUCUCUUCUCUGGCUCCUGAGUUCAGGAAUCACCUGAUGAACUAGCGGAUAGGUGGGUGGGCGAAUGAGUGGAUGGAUAAGUGGAUGAAUGAAUGUUCAUGGAUUCAUGUUGCCCUACUCCUUUCUCUCAGACCAUUGCCCUGUCUCUAUUUUCCUUUCCAGGUUGCCUUGAUGAGGGAAACAGCCUGUGAUAGAGUAGACUAGGAUGUAUAUGUGUCGAAGAACACAACUCUGGGUCUAAACCAAAGAGGGUGUGUUCUUUGGUCUGUGAUAUGGGAGGGACUUCUAGGUAUAGUGAAUAAGAACACAGCUCAAACAUUUUUGAGGAAAAGGUAGCUUCCACCCUGAGGAGAGAGAAUACCAAAUGCCAAUGCUGACAUUUUUACUCUUUCUGGCAAACAUCUGUGGAUCACUUACUAAGUCAAGCACUGGUAUGGGGCUACACAUAAGAUGUGGGUCAUAGGUAGGAAGGGUUUUUGGGAGGGGGUGUUGAGGAAGAUCCAUGGUCACAGAACAUGGUGGCUGGAAACAAUCUCUGUCACUAAAAGAGCUGAUACAGAGAGAAGAGAAGGUGAGUGGUAGACAGCUCUCCUCAACUUACUAGACUUCAGAGAUGCAGUUCCGGGUCAAGAGGAGCAAUGGAUGCAGCAAUUUCCUGUGGCCAGAUUUUGUGGCCCAUCAAAAUGAAAUCAGGUAGUCUGGAGAAAUGGCUUGAAAUGUACGUGUGUGAAGUAAGAAAUGCCUAAUGAGAGCCUAAUAUUUUUCAUCCUCACAAGGACUCCUGGGAUCACAAGGAAGACUCCAGUGCUGAUGAGAGGAUGUACUCUGUCUAGCAAAAGAUGGGGCCGCUCCAUUUCCACCAGACCCAAGGGAUCUAAUGUGUUUGUGAUCCAACACUUCAAACUCAGUGGCCCUGUAGACCAGUGAUCCUCUGUCUUCAUCAUUUCACUGUAGAUGUGUGAAGAACAAUGGAGACAUUUGGGUCAUGUGGUGCCCAUGCUCCUAGUAGAGACGGAAUACCAUGAUGCUCUUUCUGAUUCUUUUAGUUCUCUAGAAAACAAGAGUCUUCCAUCAGUACAGCCACAUUUUUUCUCUUACAUGUUUUUGGUAGAUUUUGCUGAUGACUUUAUGGUUUUAAAGGGCCCCAACCACAGUUUUGAAAUGUUUAGCAUGGGGUGGGGUUCCUUUUGAUUGAUAACUUGAAUUAAUAAAUCCCUAAGAGACUGGUGAAGCAAAUCUUAGGUAUGUCUCUGAGGAACAAAUCCUGAGAAGAUUAGAUUACCAGGGCCAGGAAUUUAUCCAUAAUAUGAUGGUGGUGUUGGGAAGAGGAGAAAGAUAGAGCCUCGCUGGAAGAGCUAUGUCAUGGAGGAUGUGUUCAUGAGAGCCGCACUUUUCCCUACUGCCUGCCUAUGUUCCCAGUGUUGGCUGUACACUACCCCAGUGUGAGCUGCUACACCAUGCCUUUCCCACCAUCUUAGGUCAAACCCUCAGAAACUGUAAACCAACGUAACUCCUCACCUUGAAUUGUCUCUCAGGUAUUUGUUCACAGUAGUGAUGAAUCGGACUACCAUGGCUCUUAAGUGCAAGAAGUGUUAGGUAUUAGUAGGGACAAAAGAAUUUAUUGGAACAGUGUAUUUAGAGUGCUGUUGGCUGUGAACCUAGUCAUUUAGCCGAGUGUACACAACCACGUAGUACAGAGAGGUACAGGCACAAGCACAGGCUGUUGAAUAUGAUGGUUGGUUGAUGAGAGUGUUUUUCGGCUGAAGCUUACUGGGACCUAAGCCUGCCACAGCUAUCCUAGGAGCCGUGAACUGGUCAGUGCUCAUGGUGAGGGUCCGAGGCAUGGCUCCUGUGGAUGACAAUAUUCAGCUGUUGUUUCUCACAGCUGUACAGGUGACCGGGCAAUUCUUGCUGCUCCAGUGGGAGUGCAUGUCUGGGACACUUCUGUGUGGCAGCUCUACCGGGACCAUGAUACCCCCAACGGUCUUUCCUGUGGUGAAUAGUUAUCUGAGGGCAUAGAGAAGGAUGUCUGUUUCUCUGUACAGGGCUCUCCUCUUGCAGUAAAUGGCCUCAGAACAGUGUUCUGAGCAGAUGGAAGGAAGCACUGGAGGAACCUGCGUUUGGAGGUUACUCAGCCUGGCUUAGCCUCUGCCACAUUCUGUUGAUCUAGUACGUCACAGUGAGUGGGUGGGGGACCUCCUUGGUGAAGUUUGCCUAGCAGGUGUGAGGCUAAAACUGGGACUCUCAGCACCUGGAUAGUGGAGAUAGGAGAAUCAGAAAUUCAAGCUUAUCCUUGACAAGCUGGAGGAUAACUAGGUUUUGCCAAAAAAAAAAAAAAGCCAAUUAUUAAUGCCAAAUCAAAUUUUAAUGACAGCACUGAAAUGAAUCUGAUCUUUUUUCUGUUUUUAGAUUUCUUUCUCUCUCCCUUUCUUUCUUUCUUUCUUUCUUUCUUUCUUUCUUCUCUUCUCUUCUCUUCUCUUCUCUUCUCUUCUCUUCUUUCUUUCUUCCUUCUUUCUUUCUUUCCUUUCUUCUUUCUUUCUUUCUUUCUCUCUCUCUUUCUCUCUUUCUUUCUUCCUUCCUUCCUUCCUUUCUUUCUUUCUUUCUUUCUUUCUUUCUUUCUUUCUUUCUUUCUUUCUAUCUUUAUCUUUUUUCCUUUCUUUUAGAGACAGAAUCUCACUGUGUAUAACUCUGGCUGGCCUGAAGCUCACCCCUAGUAUUCACAGAGACCUGCCUGUCUCUGCUUCCUGAGUGGUUCCAUUACAGGCCCUUGCCUGGCUAAUUUAAUGUCUUGAUGGGUGGAGAUGCAACAUGUUAUGCCCAGGCUUUCUAAUCUACCAUAGCAAAGAUAAUUUGAAAAAGUUUUAACACCUUUAAAAUGAACUAACUUCUAACUCUUUCUUUCUUUCUUUCUUUCUUUCUUUCUUUCUUUCUUUCUUUCUUUCUUUCUUUCUUUCCUCUCUGUCUGUCUGUCUGUCUGCCGUCUCCUUCCCACUUGCUCUCUCUUUGCCCUCUCUGAAGUAGAGGAGCUCAGACCCAAAGCCUUGCACUAGGCAAAGACUCUGCCUCUGAGCUUCAUCCUUAGUCUCUUCUCCGAAAUCUUGAUCCGACUUUCCCAGCGGAUGACUGAGGGAAAGCAGGAGCUAUGAGACAGCAUUGCCAACCUGAAUGAGCCAGUGUGUCUAGGUGAACUGCCCAUGUUGUCACAAAAGGGGGCCAUCUAACGUUAUGUCUCUCAGGGACAGAACAUGGCACCAAUUCUCUUGUUGACAAGAGAACUGAACGUAACUCCAGCUGGAUACGUAGGGAGGCAAACAAGCAACCUGGAGCAAAACUCACAAAGUCCAGGCUGCAGGCGGCCACAGGUCAAAGUCCAGAGUCUCUCACAGGUGGCAUCCAAAGGACUGGGUAUGGUGCAGUCAUGGUUCUAAAGAUAUACCAAAUGCAAAACUAGACUAGAGGGUAGCACACAGGGAAACGUGUUUGAGAGCUAAAACCACAAAGAAAGGCAUAGGAGCAACGGCGCAAUUAUAAUUAACAUUUCAUCGGAGCAGUAGGGAACUGUGUGAUGCAGGGGGUACAUGGAGAGCUUCCUGACUGAGUGGCAUGCCCCGAUGGCAUCACAAGCACUGUAGCUGUGCAUCCAUUACCACUGGUUUGUUUGCUUCACUUGGGUUUGCAUGUCAACUUUAUCACAUGGACAGUGAGAAGAUAAAGACAGAGCUCAUUAAUAAAACUACCGUUGCAUAAAGCUUUGUGGGAUGGGGCCAAGUAGAUGUUACUAUCAUUUAUUUAAUGCUUAUUGGUCCGCAGGCUGGUAAUUCCUUUCUUUGGUAUUACUGAUAGCCUAACAUCUUCAUAUGGAGUAAUUGAAUGCAUUUCGGCAGCUUUGUUAUUUUACAUGUGGUGAGCAGAUAAUAAACUGAGCUCAUUUAAUAUGUUCA